rnacentral:lncRNA from 1 species
CCUCAUGCAGCCUGUGGGCCAUGGGUUGGACAAACUUACAUUAGAGUAAUUACUAUCUAUGGCAGUUAUAGUCUUAUGGAAUGUAUUUCUUAAUAAUGACUUCACAAUACGACACAGAAACACAAGACAUACUCCUUGAUCCAUGGGCUGUAGAAUGGAUGUUGUGUUAGCAGGCAUAGAAACAUUAAUCUCUUUGUACAUUUCCAUUAGAGCUCUUGGGCACUGUCAAUGUACAGUAAUGUUUUGAAAGGAAUCUCUUUUUCUGAACAGUGGGUCUCAACAGUGGGCUUAAGAUGUUCAGUAAACUAUGCUGUAAAGAGAUGUGGUGUCAUCCAGGCUUUGUUAUUCCAUUUGCAGAGCACAGGCAGGAUAGAUUUAGCAUAAUUCUUAAGAGUCCUAGGAUUUGGGGAAUGGUAAAUGAGCAUUUGCUUCCACUUCAAGUCACCAAUAGCAUUAAUCUCUAACAAAAGAGUCAACCUGUCCUUUGAAGAUUUGAAGCCAGGCAUUGACUUCUCCUCUCUAGCUAUAAAAAUACCGGAUGGCAUCUUCUUUCAGUGGAAGACUGGUUUGUCUACAUUGAAAAUCUAUUGUUUAAUGUAGCCACCUCUAUCAAUUAUCUUAGCUAGAUGUUCUGGAUAACUUGCUGCAACUUCUACAUCAGCAUUUACCACACUUCACCUUACACUUCUUUGUUAUGGAGAUGGCUUCUUUCCUUAACCCUCAUGAACCAGUCUCUGCUAGUUUCAAACUUUUCUCUCAUCCUUCAAGGAAUUGGAGAGAGUUAGGACCUUGCUUUGGAUUAGCCUUGGGCUUCAGGGAAUUUUGUGGUUGAUUUGAUCUUCUAUCCAGACCACUAAAACUUUUUCCAUAUCAAUAAUAAGGCUAUUUUCCUUUCUUAUCGUUCUUGUAUGCAUUAGAGUAACGCUUUUAAUUUCCUUCAAAAACUUUUCCUUUGCGUUCACAACUUGGCUGUUUUGCACCAGAGGCUUAGCUUUUGGCCUAUUCCAGCUUUUGACAUGCCUUCCUUGCUAAGCUUAAUCAUAUUUAGCUUUUGAUUGCAAGUGAGAGUCGUGUGACUCUGCUUCUCACUUAAACACUUAGAGGCCACUGUAGAGUUAUUAAUUGGCCUAAUUUCAAUAGGGUGUCUCAGGGAAUAGGGAGAUCCAAGGAGAGGUAGGGAGACAGGGGAAUGGCCAGUCGGUGAAGCAGUGAGAACACACACGUUUAUUAAGUUCAUCUUCUUAUUUGGUGUGGUUCAUGGCACCCCAAAACAUUUACAAUAGUAACAUCAAAGAUCGCUGAUGUCGGAUCACCAUAAUAGACAUAAUAAUGAAAAAGUUUGAAAUAUUGUAUAUUGUAUGAAUUACAAAAAUGUGACAGAGACAUGAAGUAAGCAUAUGCUAUUGGUGCCAAUAAUUUGUUCAAUGCAGGGUUGCCACAAACAUUCAACUUGUAAAAAACACAAUAUCUGCAUUAAGCUGAGUGCAAGAAAAUGAGGUAUGCCUUUAUUUAGUUCUUCUUCAACUUCUUUCAACAAUAUUUUAUAGUCCUCAGG